AACGCAAAUUGCUCUAUCGCUGUUCGCAUUAAUGCGGAGAGAGGAAAGUCCGGGCAACACAGGGUACCUUGCUUCCUAACGGGAAGGCGCUAUUUAUUGGCGACAGAAAGUGCUACAGAAAAUAAACUACCGAUAAGCAAUUAUCGGAAAAGGUGAAAAUGUGAGGUAAGAGCUCACGACUUUGUAUGGCGACAUGCAUCGUGGUAAACCUCAGGGGUUGAAAGACCAAAUAAGUCUCGAUUCUGGAGCGUCCCGUUCCAAUUGUUUAUUCAAUAUCGAGAUGGGUAGGUCGUUAGAUCAUAAUAGCAAUGUUAUGGCAAGAUAAAUGAUAGAGACAUACUGAUUAAUUCAGGAUGACAGAACCCGGCUUACAAAUUUGCAUUUUUU
rnacentral:RNase_P_RNA from 3 species